rnacentral:rRNA from 1 species
UGUGUACUCACUAUGUUGCUUUGGCGGGUCGACCUGGUUCCGACCCAGGCGGCCGGCGCCCCCAGCCUUAACUGGCCAGGACGCCCGGCUAAGUGCCCGCCAGUAUACAAAACUCAAGAAUUCAUUUUGUGAAGUCCUGAUAUAUCAUUUAAUUGAUUAAAACUUUCAACAACGGAUCUCUUGGUUCUGGCAUCGAUGAAGAACGCAGCGAAAUGCGAUAAGUAAUGUGAAUUGCAGAAUUCAGUGAAUCAUCGAAUCUUUGAACGCACAUUGCGCCCUCUGGUAUUCCGGAGGGCAUGCCUGUUCGAGCGUCAUUUCAACCCUCAAGCUCUGCUUGGUAUUGGGCAACGUCCGCUGCCGGACGUGCCUUGAAGACCUCGGCGACGGCGUCCUAGCCUCGAGCGUAGUAGUAAAAUAUCUCGCUUUGGAGUGCUGGGCGACGGCCGCCGGACAAUCGACCUUCGGUCUAUUUUUCCAAGGUUGACCUCGGAUCAGGUAGGGAUACCCGCUGAACUUAAGCA